rnacentral:lncRNA from 1 species
CAGAAGAAGUCAUCUCUUGGCUCGGGUUUAAAGGGUGCCAAUGAGGCACAAAGCCAGGAGAGGAGACUCAAGAAGAAUUAUAGGAGGGAAUCACUGGCUUCUUCUUCUUCAGAACUCUCGAUGGAUUCCCACUCUUACGGAAGCUUCACCACAUAUGAGAAGGUCGCCUGCAAGCACGUAAGUAUCUAAUUGACCUUUACCAGUAUGACAUCUAUAUGUAAACAUGAAAGAGUUAAUCUCACAUUUUCGGUGCUUGUCUUUGAUUGAAGCGAAAUGGAGAUGAGGAGGUGCUUAUCACUCCAAUAAGGCGUUCGAGCAGAUUGCUGAAGCAAGUCACUUCUCCAUGACUAGAGGAGAAAGCAUUUCUCCCCCUGACUCUCGGUUGCUCCUGAUUCCUACCAUUUUAGGAUUCAGUGGUUUGACAUAGUUUAGCUAGAUUUGUUUGACAGCAGUAUGAACAGCUAACACUUGUCGCUAGUAAUUUCGCUUUCGAACUGCUCUAAAACCCCCUCCACUUGUCCCUGUGGUCUGAUUUAUUUCCAGCAGAAUAUCUAGCUUUUAGAAUGCUUUCUACUUUUUCUGCCUUGUCUGGUUCGUUCAUGAUAGAAUUCUAGCUCGUUCGUGAUAUCUAGCUUUUAGAGCUAGUAAUUCGCUUUCGAACUGCUCUAAAGCCCCCUCCACUGGUCCCUGUGGUCUGAUUUAUCCAGCAGAAUAUCUAGCUUUUAGAAUGCUUUCUACUUUUUCUGCCUUGUCUGGUUCGUUCGUGAUAGAAUUCUAGCUCGUCUGUCUUGUCUGCCUGUGUUUGUGACAUGUUUGGGUCACACUCCAGCAGAAUACCUUUGUUAUGUAGACUUUUUCAAUUUUAAUCACACUCCAUUGACAAAGCUGCAGAUCAAUUAUGCUCUGAGAUCCUUUUUCCUUGAGCAGAUAGAUGAUCAAUCUUUCAGAUAUAAUAUGUUAGGAGGACCUAACUUGAAACCUAAUGUUCUGUAAAACCAUUAAUCUGAAAUCUAGUCAUGUCAAGAAGACUAAUAACGCAAUAAAUUCACAGCAGGAGCAGUAGAAUUCGAAGCGAAACAACAUCAAACUCUUUCAGAAAAAGAAAACCCAAGUCCCACGAAGAUUCUUGGAUUAAAAUCACUAAAUCGGUUAGGAUUUGAAUGCAAGAGGUAGAGGAGUGAAGAUCACAUGCUUUAGCUCUUCCAAAGAGAUAUCGCGCUCUUCGAUAGGCGCAUUUGCAAGAC